AUUGAACGCUGGCGGCAGGCCUAACACAUGCAAGUCGAACGGUAACAGGAAGAAGCUUGCUUCUUUGCUGACGAGUGGCGGGCGGGUGAGUAAUGUCUGGGAAACUGCCCGAUGGAGGGGGAUAACUACUGGAAACGGUAGCUAAUACCGCAUAACGUCGCAAGACCAAAGAGGGGGACCUUCGGGCCUCUUGCCAUUGGAUGUGCCCAGAUGGGAUUAGCUAGUAGGUGGGGUAACGGCUCACCUAGGCGACGAUCCCUAGCUGGUGUGAGAGGAUGACCAGCCACACUGGAACUGAGACACGGUCCAGACUCCUACGGGAGGCAGCAGUGGGGAAUAGUGCACUAUGGGCGCAAGGCUGAUGCAGCCAUGCCGCGUGUAUGAAGAAGGCCUUCGGGUUGUAAAGUACUUUCAGCGGGGAGGAAGGGAGUAAAGUUAAUACCUUUGCUUAUUGACGUUACCCGCAGAAGAAGCACCGGCUAACUCCGUG
rnacentral:rRNA from 1 species